AUCUACAGCUAUACUAACCUGAACACACCCAAUCUCAUCUGAUCUUGGAAAGCUAAGCAGAGUUAGUCCUGGUUAGUACUUGGAUGAGAGACAGUGUGGGCUUGAGGACGCGAAUC
rnacentral:rRNA from 1 species